UCGAGCCGGAUGAUGAAAAAUUAUCAUGUCCGGUUCUUUUGGAGGAUGGAUCUAUAAGAAUUCACCUAUCCCAAU
rfam:Cajanus cajan Scaffold000124_3, whole genome shotgun sequence.